AACCCUUGUCCUUAGUUACCAGCACGUUAUGGUGGGCACUCUAAGGAGACUGCCGGGUGUACAAACCGGAGGAAGGUGGGGAUGACGUCAAGUCAUCAUGGCCCUUACGGCCUGGGCUACACACGUGCUACAAUGGUCGGUACAAAGGGUUGCCAAGCCGCGAGGUGGAGCUAAUACCCAUAAAACCGAUCGUAGUCCGGAUCGCAGUCUGCAACUCGACUGCGUGAAGUCGGAAUCGCUAGUAAUCGUGAAUCAGGAUGUCACGGUGAAUACGUUCCCGGGCCUU
rnacentral:rRNA from 1 species